GUUUUAAGAUGAGUUUCACUCUUGUUGCCUAGGCUGGAGUGCAAUGGCGUGAUCUCGGCUCACUGCAACCUCCGCCUCCUGGGUUCAAGUGAUGCUCGUGACUCAGCCUCCCAAGUAGCUGGGAUUACAGUUGCCCACCACAAUGCCCAGGUAUUGUGUUUUUUACAAGUUGAAGAUCUGUAGCAACCCUGCAGUGAGGAAGUCUAUUGGUGCCAUUUGCCCAACAGCAUGAGCUCACUUCAUGUCUCUGUGUCACAUUUUGGUAAUUCUCAUAAUAUUUUAAAGUUUUUUAUUAUUAUUAUUUCUGUUAUGGUGAUCUGUGAUCGAUGAUCUUUGAUGUUAUUAUCGUAACUGUUUUGGGGACACCAUGAACCAUGUCCAUAUAAGAUGGUGAACUUAAUUGAUAGAUGUGUGUGUUCCGAUGGCUCUACCAACCAAUCAUUCCCCCAUAUCUUUACUUUCCUUGGGCCUCUCUAUCCCUUGAGACACAACAAUAUUGAAGUUAGGCCAAUUAGUAACCCUCGAAUGGCCUCUCAGUGCUUAAGUGAAAGGAAGAGUUUCAUGUCUCUCAUUUUAAAUAAAAAGCUAGAUAUAAUUCAGCCUAAAGAGAGAGGCAUGUCAAAAGCCAAGAUAGCCCAAAAGCUAGGCCUCUUGUGAUAAGCAGUUAGCCAAGCUGUGAAUGCAAAAAAAAAAAGAAUUCUUGAAGGAAAUGAAAGGUGCUACUCCAGUGAACACAAGAAUGAUAAGAAAGCAAAACAGCCUUGUUGCUGAUGUAGAGAAAGUUUGAGUAGCCUGGAGAGAUCAAACAUUCCCUUAGGCCAAGCCUAACCAAGA
rnacentral:lncRNA from 1 species